rnacentral:piRNA from 1 species
UUCAUAUCGCUUGACUCAAAC